rnacentral:rRNA from 1 species
GAUGAACGCUAGCGGCAGGCUUAACACAUGCAAGUCGAGGGGUAUUGGUUUUCGGACCAAGAGACCGGCGCACGGGUGCGUAACGCGUAUGCAAUCUACCUUUUGCAGAGGGAUAGCCCCAGAGAAAUUUGGAUUAAUACCUCAUAGUAUAGUACUUUGGCAUCAAGGAACUAUUAAAGUCACAACGGCAAAGAUGAGCAUGCGUCCCAUUAGCUAGUUGGUAAGGUAACGGCUUACCAAGGCUACGAUGGGUAGGGUCCUGAGAGGGAGAUCCCCCACACUGGUACUGAGACACGGACCAGACUCCUACGGGAGGCAGCAGUGAGGAAUAUUGGACAAUGGGCGCAAGCCUGAUCCAGCCAUGCCGCGUGCAGGAUGACGGUCCUAUGGAUUGUAAACUGCUUUAUACAGGAAGAAACACUCCGACGUGUCGGAGCUUGACGGUACUGUAAGAAUAAGGAUCGGCUAACUCCGUGCAGCAGCCG